GGCUCCAAGAUUUCUAUUUGGAGUCGGACCUGCACAAUGUUUGAAUAAAUUGCUGCGGUAUAUUGACCGUGCGAAGGUAGCAUAAUAAUUAGGCUAUUAAUUGUAGUCUUGGAUGAAUGGUUUGACUUGGGAAAGACUUUCUUAAUUUUAAUGAUGAAAUUAAAUUGUUAGUAAGAAUGCUAACAUGAAUUAUAAAGACGAGAAGACCCUGUUGAGUUUUAUAUUUAUGUGCUUUAUUUAAUGGAGUUAUUGGUAAGCAUUCUAAUAUUUGGUUGGGGCGAUUCUGUUAAUAAACAUUAGAAGAUCCAUUAAUAAUGAUUAAUUGAAUAAAUUACCACAGGGAUAACAGCAUAAUUUCAUAGGAGAGUUCUAAUCGAUUGUGAAGUUUGUGACCUCGAUGUUGAAUUAAGAUACCUUUAGGGCGUAGGGGCUUAAAUGAGGUAGACUGUUCGUCUAUUAAAAUCUUACAUGAUCUGA
rnacentral:rRNA from 1 species